CUAACACAAGCAAUCGAGCGCUUUUGAUUUGAGGCUUGCAUGAUGAAAGAUGACGGCGGACGGGUGAAGUAACGCGUGGGUAACCUGCCCUAUACACAUGGAUAACAUACUGCAAACAGUUUACUAAUACAUGAUAAUCAUAUAUUUACGGCAUCGUAGAUAUAUCAAAGUGUUAGCGGUAUAGGAUGGACCCGCGUCUGAUUAGCUAGUUGGUGAGAUAACUGCCCACCAAGGCGACGAUCAGUAGCCGACCUGAGAGGGUGAUCGGCCACAUUGGAACUGAGACACGGUCCAAACUCCUACGGGAGGCAGCAGUGGGGAAUAUUGCACAAUGGGCGCAAGCCUGAUGCAGCAACGCCGCGUGAACGAUGAAGGUCUUCGGAUCGUAAAGUUCUGUUGCAGGGGAAGAUAAUGACGGUACCCUGUGAGGAAGCCCCGGCUAACUACGUGCCAGCAGCCGCGGUAAUACGUAGGGGGCUAGCGUUAUCCGGAUUUACUGGGCGUAAAGGGUGCGUAGGUGGUCUUUCAAGUCGGUGGUUAAAGACUACGGCUCAACCGUAGUUAGCCUCCGAAACUGGAAGACUUGAGUGCAGGAGAGGAAAGUGGAAUUCCCAGUGUAGCGGUGAAAUGCGUAGAUAUUGGGAGGAACACCAGUAGCGAAGGCGGCUUUCUGGACUGCAACUGACACUGAGGCACGAAAGCGUGGGUAGCAAACAGGAUUAGAUACCCUGGUAGUCCACGCUGUAAACGAUGAGUACUAGGUGUCGGGGGUUACCCCCCUCGGUGCCGCAGCUAACGCAUUAAGUACUCCGCCUGGGGAGUACG
rnacentral:rRNA from 1 species